rnacentral:rRNA from 1 species
CAGUCGCCGCGGGAAUACGUAGGUGGCAAGCGUUGUCCGGAAUUAUUGGGCGUAAAGGGCUCGCAGGCGGUUUCUUAAGUCUGAUGUGAAAGCCCCCGGCUCAACCGGGGAGGGUCAUUGGAAACUGGGAAACUUGAGUGCAGAAGAGGAGAGUGGAAUUCCACGUGUAGCGGUGAAAUGCGUAGAGAUGUGGAGGAACACCAGUGGCGAAGGCGACUCUCUAGUCUGUAACUGACGCUGAGGAGCGAAAGCGUGGGGAGCGAACAGGAUUAGAUACCCCAGUAGUCCCUGUCUCUUAUAA